rnacentral:lncRNA from 1 species
GAGCCGUAAGACCCAACACCCUUCAACUCUCUUCCACUUUAGAAGAGCCGUUAGUCCCGUAAGGGCCAACACUCUUCAACUCUUUUCCACUUUAGAAGAGCCGUUAGUCCCGUAGAAUCCAAGAACUCCCACUCUACCUAGUCGCAAAAGAACCGUAAGAACCGUAAGCACCGAACAAAAAAAAAAAAAAAAAAACGUAAGAGACGUCUCUACAAGUUAAAUUGCACUCCAUAGUUGAAAAAAUUCCAACUAUUGAGUGGGGGACAAACUGUAAUGGCCAAAAUUCGUAUAAGCCUAAUUAACAAUAACUAUGCAGCCCAACGAGCUAGUCCGAUAAAACGGCCCAUACGACACUCAUAGUACAACGCCC